UAGAUGCGAGAGUAGAGCAUAUCAAUAAGCGGAGGAAAAGAAACUAACUAGGAUUCCCUCAGCAACGGCGAGUGAAGCGGGAAGAGCUCAAAUUUGAAAUCUUCAAGGUUCUACCUUGACGAAUUGUAGUUUAAAGAAGUGUUUUCUGUUGGAGUUUUGGUAAAAGUUCUUUGGAAUAGGACAUCAUAGAGGGUGAGAAUCCCGUAUUUGACCAUUAUUUCCAACUUUGUGAUACACUUUCAAAGAGUCGGAUUGUUUGGGAAUGCAGUCCAAAAUGGGUGGUAAAUUUCAUCUAAAGCUAAAUACUGGCGAGAGACCGAUAGCGAACAAGUACCGUGAGGGAAAGAUGAAAAGAACUUUGAAAAGAGAGUUAAACAGUACGUGAAAUUGUCAAAAGGGAAGCGUUUGACACCAGUGUUGUUUUUCCGAAAAUCAAUUACGAAUGUUUUAUUUUUGAGGAGUUAUGACUUCAUCGGCUUGCUCCUUUCUUUAUGGAACUUUCUUAAUGCACUUUUCGGUUAACAAGUCAACAUCAAUUUCUUUUGUUGUAAAAGGUUAAGAGGAAGGUGGCUUUACUUUCGGGUAAAGUGUUUAUAGCCUUUUAACUCUGCAAUCGGAGAGAUUGAGGUCUGCAGCGUAGAUCCUUCGGGGCUAGAUACACUUUGUGCUAAGUUAUAGCUUUUCAUAGACAACUUGUUGACUAUGUUUAGUCUUGUAGCUUACUCGCAUGCGCUAUUUUACCUACGCUUAGGAUGUUGACGAGACUGUCGAUCUC
rnacentral:rRNA from 1 species